UUCUUUAGUGUUCUUGUUUGUUUUUCUUACUACCAUUGUUAUUCUAUCCAAGCUUUUACAAGAAAGUUUGGAUUUUUAUUUAUUUUCUUAGGGUUUAAGUUAAUGUUAUUUUCAUUUAAUUUCUUAAUGAUUAUGGGUUUUAAUACAAGCAUGAGUUACUAAAUACUUAGGGGUUGAUUGAUUGAAAUGUUAGGUAAUUGGUUUUUGGGUUCGGAGACUAAUGUGCAAAAUUAGGCUAAAUCGAAUAGGCUUCAA
rnacentral:lncRNA from 1 species